AUUAGCUAGUUGGUAAGGUAACGGCUUACCAAGGCGAUGAUGCAUAGCCGAGUUGAGAGACUGAUCGGCCACAAUGGAACUGAGACACGGUCCAUACUCCUACAGGAGGCAGCAGUAGGGAAUCUUCGGCAAUGGGGGGAACCCUGACCGAGCAACGCCGCGUGAGUGAAGAAGGUUUUCGGAUCGUAAAGCUCUGUUGUUAGAGAAGAACGUGUGUGAGAGUGGAAAGUUCACACAGUGACGGUAACUAACCAGAAAGGGACGGCUAACUACGUGCCAGCAGCCGCGGUAAUACGUAGGUCCCGAGCGUUGUCCGGAUUUAUUGGGCGUAAAGCGAGCGCAGGCGGUUCUGUAAGUCUGAAGUUAAAGGCAGUGGCUUAACCAUUGUACGCUUUGGAAACUGCAGGACUUGAGUGCAGA
rnacentral:rRNA from 1 species